GUCGGUUUCUCUUGGUCCCUCCCACAGAUUUUCCCCAUGGACGCCGCCGCUACCAACCGCCCUGUCCGACUUCUCCUCUGCCUUGUUAUUGCGUUAAGCGGCGUCCUUUUUACUGAUGCGGAGCUUCGGCGAUUUCCCCAUCCCUCCAAAGACGACGGCUCUCUCAGCCUUCUGGUCGUCGGAGACUGGGGACGAAACGGAGAAUACAACCAAUCUCAAGUUGCCGUUCAGAUGGGGAUCAUCGGAGAAAAAUUGGAGGUCGAUUUCGUAAUUUCAACCGGCGAUAAUUUUUACGAUAGGGGACUAAAGGGUACCGACGAUCCGGCAUUUGAAGAGUCAUUUUCCAAAAUAUACACCGCACCAAGCUUGCAAAAGGAGUGGUACAGUGUUUUGGGCAAUCAUGAUUAUAGAGGAGAUGUUGAGGCCCAAUUAAGUCCAAUUUUGAGAAAAUUGGAUAAUAGAUGGAUUUGCUUGAGAUCUUUCAUUGUUGAUACAGAAAUUGUGGAGUUUUUCUUUGUGGACACAACCCCCAUUGUGGACAAGUAUUUUAUUGAUCCUGAAGAUGAGGUUUAUGAUUGGAAGGGUGUUUUACCAAGACGAAAUUACAUUUCUAACCUUCUCAAGGAAUUGGAUUCAGCGAUAAAGGAUUCAAAUGCAAAAUGGAAAAUAGUUGUGGGACAUCACACUUUGAAAAGUGCUGGGAGUCAUGGUGAUACUCAAGAACUACUUCACCUCCUUCUACCCAUUCUUGAGGAAAAUAAAGUGGAUUUCUAUGUGAAUGGACAUGACCACUGCUUGCAACAUAUAAGCAGCAUUAGCAGCCCACUUCAAUAUUUUACAAGUGGGGGAGGAUCGAAGGCAUGGAAGGGAGAAAUAAAUUGGAUGGAUCCAAAAGAGUUGAAGUUUUAUUAUGAUGGGCAAGGCUUCAUGUCCUUACAAAUCACUCAUUCACAAGCAAACUUUACAUUCUUUGACAUUUUUGGCAAUGUUCUGCACCAAUGGACCUCCACCAAGCCACUUCUUCACUCUGUCAUUUGAACACCAUGCU
rnacentral:misc_RNA from 1 species